rnacentral:rRNA from 1 species
CCUACGGGGGGCAGCAGUGGGGAAUAUUGGACAAUGGGCGAAAGCCUGAUCCAGCCAUGCCGCGUGUGUGAAGAAGGCCUUCGGGUUGUAAAGCACUUUCAGUGGGGAAGAAAGCCUUGGGGCUAAUACCCUCGAGGAAGGACAUCACCCACAGAAGAAGCACCGGCUAACUCCGUGCCAUCAGCCGCGGUAAUACGGAGGGUGCGAGCGUUAAUCGGAAUUACUGGGCGUAAAGCGCGCGUAGGCGGUCUGAUAAGCCGGUUGUGAAAGCCCCGGGCUCAACCUGGGAACGGCAUCCGGAACUGUCAGGCUAGAGUGCAGGAGAGGAAGGUAGAAUUCCCGGUGUAGCGGUGAAAUGCGUAGAGAUCGGGAGGAAUACCAGUGGCGAAGGCGGCCUUCUGGACUGACACUGACGCUGAGGUGCGAAAGCGUGGGUAGCAAACAGGAUUAGAUACCCGGUAGUC